CAUUUUGGGUUUUUUUUUUUUUCCCUCCCGAUUUAUUUUCGACGCGCGGCUCUGUAGCGUCGGGCUCGGAAAGAGCUUUCCGAAGAGUACUCACGGGCCCCGGGAGUCCAUCGGGACCGAAAGAUAGGCACGUUUAGGCGGAGAAGCGCUGUUUAGUGAGAAAUUAAAUAUUUGGAAUUUCGUCGUGCGCAAGUUGUCUUCCUUUAAUUGCUCGAAAAUUUCGCGACGGGUCAUCGACAUAGAUUCGCUACAAGUAAAUUAGCAAUGCGUAACAUGAC
rnacentral:misc_RNA from 1 species